rnacentral:lncRNA from 1 species
GCUUUUGUUUUAUUUUAUUUUAUUUUAUUUUAUUUUAUUUUAUUUUGAGACAGGGUCUCCUGUAGCCCAGACAGGUCUCUGGACUCCUCCUCCUUCUGCCUCUACCUGUGAUGCUGUGAUGACAGGCAUGUAACAGCAUACCUGGUUGAUGUGGCACUGGGAAUCAAACCCAGUGCUUUCUACAUGUUAGAUAAGUGCUCUUCCAACUGAGCCGUAUCCUCCACCCCAGGUUCUCCAUUUCCAAAGGCACUAGCUCAUCUGUAAGUAAGGCUUGACUCAAAUAAAAGCUUUACCCCUGCAAAAAGGAGUGGAACGUCAAGGUGCAUUUUUAUAUGCUUAUAUAUUCUAAGUAAUACAGGUAGGCAAGUAUACCUUUUUUUUUUUAGGACAAGUUUUCUGCUAUACUUUAAAGAAUUUAACCCAGAUGUAGAUCUUGGUAACAUUAGGUAGAAAAGUUGCUGAAAUUGAAUAUGUCAAAAUAUGGGUCCUCAAGUGUGCAUGUAGCUCAUAGAAGACACAUCUUAUUUCCCUUAGAGUUUCCAGUGUGGCACAUAGUAGACUGUUCAGAAGUGUUGACUAGGUGAAUAUGAAUGAAUGAGUUCAUUUGUUCAUUCUCAUAUACCACCCUCCCUAAUAAAGUCUUGCUAUAUAGUCCAACUGGCCCUGAACUCAUGGUCAUCCCCCUGCCUCAGCCUCCUGAGUUCUGGGAUUACAGACAUCAGCCACCACACCAAGUUCUAUGAUUCUGUCUCCAGAUAUCGCUGUGCCUCCAGGUGUUUAACUUUGAUAUCUUCUGCUUUAAUAUUUUGCCCUACUUGUGUGCCUUGGCACAACAUGACAGCAGAGAGCAGAGUCCAGUCCCGGUGGGUCGACUGCACUUGUUCCUUAAUCAUGACAGCUGGCCCUCUGUGGCCACUGGUUUCCCAUCUGUGGAUUCCAUUUCUAUGGAUCCCAAGUGUGUGAAACCGUGGUGCUUGCCUGCAGACAUGUUCUCUUCAUUCUUCCCCAGGCACCAGGACCUGCUGUUUAUUCUGCACGGCAUUGCAUUAGACUGUAUGGAAGCUGCAAAGAUGACUUUAAGCAUUUAGGAGGACUAUAUAACAUGCACAGGGAGCCCUGCUAUAAGAGACUUGAACAUCUACAGAUGGUGGUGUCUCUGGGCAUUCCUAGAAUCCCCACAGCAGUACCAAAGGAUGCAUGUGUGUCUCAUGGUUUAAUGGGAGUUAGGGCUCAUGCACGUCCCAGUCAUCUUCUGCCAUCUUCCAGUCUCAUAUCCUGUGCUUAUUUUGUGUAAUAAGCUGACAGUCUGCAAAACUAGGAGAAAGGUUAGUGAUCAUAGAUAGAUCAGAAAACAUACUACGGUCUGGAGAACGUUUAGGGCAGAAAGGUGAGGAUUUCAGGAGAAGAAAUGAAGGGAGGCUUCUAAAUUGGAAAGAGGCAGCCCAAUGGUCGGGUGUUUGUUUGGUUUGCGCAUUCUGGGUUUGGUGCCUAGCAUCAUAAAAUAAAACU